AGAGUUUGAUCCUGGCUCAGGACGAACGCUGGCGGCGUGCUUAACACAUGCAAGUCGAACGGAAAGGCCCUUCGGGGUACUCGAGUGUCGAACGGGUGAGUAACACGUGGGUGAUCUGCCCUGCACUUUGGGAUAAGCCUGGGAAACUGGGUCUAAUACCGAAUAGGACCACGCGCUUCAUGGUGUGUGGUGGAAAGCUUUUGCGGUGUGGGAUGGGCCCGCGGCCUAUCAGCUUGCUGGUGGGGUAAUGGCCUACCAAGGCGACGACGGGUAGCCGGCCUGAGAGGGUGACCGGCCACACUGGGACUGAGAUACGGCCCAGACUCCUACGGGAGGCAGCAGUGGGGAAUAUUGCACAAUGGGCGCAAGCCUGAUGCAGCGACGCCGCGUGAGGGAUGACGGCCUUCGGGUUGUAAACCUCUUUCAAUAGGGACGAAGCGCAAGUGACGGUACCUAUAGAAGAAGCACCGGCCAACUACGUGCCAGCAGCCGCGGUAAUACGUAGGGUGCGAGCGUUGUCCGGAAUUACUGGGCGUAAAGAGCUCGUAGGUGGUUUGUCGCGUUGUUCGUGAAAACUCACAGCUUAACUGUGGGCGUGCGGGCGAUACGGGCAGACUAGAGUACUGCAGGGGAGACUGGAAUUCCUGGUGUAGCGGUGGAAUGCGCAGAUAUCAGGAGGAACACCGGUGGCGAAGGCGGGUCUCUGGGCAGUAACUGACGCUGAGGAGCGAAAGCGUGGGGAGCGAACAGGAUUAGAUACCCUGGUAGUCCAA
rnacentral:rRNA from 1 species